CCCUUAGAUGUUCUGGGCUGCACGCGCGCUACACUGACGCACUCAACGAGUAUUCUUCCUUGGCAGAGAUGCCUGGGUAAUCUGUGAAUAUGCGUCGUGAUGGGGAUAGAUCAUUGCAAUUAUUGAUCUUCAACGAGGAAUUCCUAGUAAACGCACGUCAUCAGCGUGCAUUGAUUACGUCCCUGCCCUUUGUACACACCGCCCGUCGCUGCCCGGAACUGAGCCGUUUCGAGAAGACUGAGGAUUGCUGACUUGAGGCCUUCACGGGCUUCUAGUCGGUGAAAAUCAAUUUAAUCGCAGCGGCUUGAACCGGGCAAAAGUCGUAACA
rnacentral:rRNA from 1 species